CACGCCGUAAACGAUGAGUACUAAGUGUUGGGGUAGCCCAGUGCUGAAGUUAACGUAAUAAGUACUCCGCCUGAGUAGUACGUGCGCAAGCAUGAAACUCAAAGGAAUUGACGGGACCCCGCACAAGCGGUGGAUCAUGUUGUUUAAUUCGAGGAGACGCGAAGAACCGGACCAGGUCUUGACAUACCAUGCAAAGCUAUAGAGAUAUAGUGGAGGUUAACAUGGAUACAGGUGG
rnacentral:rRNA from 1 species